AAAUUUAAAGGGCUGCAGUAUAUUGACUGUACAAAGGUAGCAUAAUCAUUAGUCUCUUAAUUGGUGACUUGUAUGAAAGAUUGGAUGAAAUAUAGACUGUCUCUUAUUUAAAGAUAGAAUUUAAUUUUUUUAUUAAAAAGUAAAAAUAAUUUUAAAAGACGAGAAGACCCUAUAGAGUUUAAUAAUUUGUAUUUAUUAUAAUUUAUAUAUAAAUUUAAAAAUUUAUAUGAAAUAAAUUAUUUUGUUGGGGUGACAAAAAAAUUAAAAUAACUUUUUUUAAAAAAAAAACAAAAAUAAAUGAAAAAAUUGAUCCAAAAUUUUUGAUUAUAA
rnacentral:rRNA from 1 species